UCGAUCUGAUCUGUUUGCCCUUGUAGUCCUCUCCUUUCCCACAAAUUAAUUUGAAUACAUCGACGCACCAUUACGUUAGCUUUAUUAGGAUAUUUAUUCAUGAGGAGCCAUCAAACAGACCCAUUUCUUACUUCGAAGAUGAUGAAGGCCUAAACCAGGAUAACAUAAGGGAUAUAUGCAGAAUUCAGAAAGAAUGGCAAAUGAUACAUGGACCAUAUAUUGCAUAGAUGAUUAAGUUCACACUACUGGAUCCAGAGGGUCACUUUGGUUCUGAGACAAAGUAUUGUCUGACACCUGAGAAUGCCUGACGAUCAUUAGGAAUGAAGUGACUGCAGAAUUCAAUGUAAAGACACUCAAUAUGAUGGAUGCGACCAUGCCCAACGGUGGAAUUAACAUCCAAACAAGCAGCACAAUUACAAGAAAUCCGAACACUGGACCAAAGGUUAUGAUGAUGGAAAGGUAAGGCUUUUCACUUUGAAGUUUAAAUUCUGCGAUCAAGGCCAUAGCAUAGAGGCAUAAGUUGACAAAAAUGACUGCCAUAAUGGUGGGAUGAUCAUCAAAUGGAGAUAUCUUUUGGGUUGGUAUUCAAUUUGAAGGAAAACACUGAACGUAGUUAUCAGAAACAUUAUGGCAAUGUGAAGUAGCUUCCUGUAGGACCUGUAUGUAAUGCCAAAAGGAAAAAGAAAAAAAAAACAAAAAUGAAUGACAUAUAGCAUGCUAAGAUUCAAAAAAAGUGUGGUUUUGUAUAAGUUGUAAUAGAAGUUAUGAACAAAUCCAAAUAAGGAAACAAUAGUAGCUUAUGGGAUACUAUAUAUGAUUGUUUGGAUAAUUUUAAAAAAAUUAUGAUUUUAAGUUCAUAAUUAAUUUUGACAUAUACAAUGAGUGUUUGGAUAUUUUUAAGAAAACAUGGCAGUGAAGUUAUACUUGAUUUUAACAUGCAACAUGGGUGCUUGGAUAUAAACCACAGUUUUACAUGAUUUUUAAUUAUGCUUUUCAAUUUUACUUUUUUAAUUCUGAUUAAAAUCAAUAUUAUUAAUCAAUUUUAUAAUAUAAAUUUAAUUAUACAUAAAAUAAUAAAUUAAAUUCAAAAUUAAUCAUAUUAAUUUUUUUUCAAUAUCUUUUUUUUAUAACCGAAAUUAAAUCCAAACGGGCCCAAGAUUUGUGAGGGGCUGGCGAUGAUUAAUUUGUUGGUUUCCCAAUUUCCCAUAAGGAACAGAAGCGUAGAAUAUACUACCUUCCCAUAGAAUUUUGAGCUGCAGGCAUGUCGUGAUGGUCAGAGACAGUGUCGCCAGUGCCAUUUGGAUCGUUGGCCCCAAGUCCCUGGAUGUAGUCUGCUUGAGCACCGUCACGAGGAUCGGACAUGGAUUGAGGAAGAGGUGUCCUGAGGACAACGGAGCUGAGCGCGAGGGGGUGGUCGAUGGCCAUGGGUCCCUGGCGGUGAGGUUCAAAUAUUGGGAUUUGUGAUGGGACCAGAAGAUCAAAAACUCGCAGGGAAAGAGGGAGGGGAUGUGUGGUAAGGAUGUCGGAGCUGGGUGCGGUGAGCUGGAACUCCCCCGCGAGGUGGUGGUUGGCUUGAACAACGGCGCGAGGGUGAGGCAUUGGCAUGGACUGAAGUUGUCGGAAAUGAGGGAUUGGUGAUCGGAGCAGAUGAUGGAAUGUCAGGGAGGGAGGAGACAGAGAGAGGAAAGCUUGAGAGUGGAAGAGAUGAGAGACGAGUUUGAAGAAGUGAAGGACGAGGUGGUUGUGACGAUGAUGGCAAUGAAGGAAAAUUGAGAGGUGAUUUAUAAAGAAGAAAGAUACUGAAAGUGAGGAAAAGGUGAUAAAUAGGAGGGAAUGAAUGAAUGUCUCGGCCAAGAAAAGAGGAAAGAUGAGCACCCAAGAAGGAUCCGCCUUGUCAGAUGGUCGAUAGUCACGUCAUGAUAUGCCAAACAAGACAACACCGAAGACGAGCCCGACAAGCUGUCUGUCUCUCUUGAGUGCGACACUGCUCCCCGGGGUGCCAUCCUAUAUGCUUAGAAAAACAAUGCCUUACAAAUUUCUGCGAAAUUCCCCUAGCUAUCUGUUGACUAAUGAAAUAUUAAAUACAUGUUCGCUUUCCUGAGCUAUUCA